rnacentral:tRNA from 1 species
GGCGGCAUAGCCAAGGGGCUUAAGGCGACGGUCUGCAAAAUCGUUAUCCCCGGUUCGAAUCCGGGUGCCGCCU